CGGGAAUUUUGGGCAAUGGGCGCAAGCCUGACCGAGCAACGCCGCGUGGAGGAUGACGGCUUUCGGGUUGUAAACUCCUUUUGGGUGGGACGAUAAUGACGGUACCAUCCGAAUCAGACCCGGCUAACUACGUGCCAGCAGCCGCGGUAAUACGUAGGGGUCGAGCGUUGUCCGGACUUACUGGGCGUAAAGCGUGGGUAGGUGGGGGCUGAUGUGCCGUGUGAAAGCGCCGCGCUUCUCGCGGCGAGGUCGCGGUAGACACAGCGCCUAGAGGCACGGAGAGGGGCGUAGAAUUCCCGGUGUAGUGGUGAAAUGCGUAGAUAUCGGGAGGAAUACCAGUGGCGCAAGCGGCGCCCUGGCCGUGACCUGACACUGAGCCACGACGGCGUGGGGAGCAAAC
rnacentral:rRNA from 1 species